CCUGGGCCUGCACCCCAGAUUCAGGGUCCCCCGCCCUUGCAGGUACACAGCUGUGGCCAUGCCCAUGCUGUACAAUACGCGCUACAGCUCCAAGCGCCGGGUCACCGUCAUGAUCUCCAUCGUCUGGGUCCUGUCCUUCACCAUCUCCUGCCCACUCCUCUUCGGACUCAAUAACGCAGGUACAUUCUGCUUUUGUUUGCCUGAGGCUCAGCUGGCCC
rnacentral:lncRNA from 1 species